rnacentral:lncRNA from 1 species
GAACACAAAAUGGCGACACGUGGUUAGCAUUCGUCGCCAACGAGAAAUUGGGGUCGGCCCGAAAGCUCUAGAAUGCACCCCUCUUCCUCCCCGGGGCCUUCCACCUCCGCGAGUUUUAUGACUUAAAAAAGCCCACAGGCUGGUCUGAAGGUCGGAGGCCUAAUUUUAACGCGUUUUCCUCCCUUUAAUUUGAAACGGGAACGCGAAUGACUGUAAAAUGUGGGCACAAUAUUUAAUCUCUCGCCUUUUUAAAGCUUAAUAGUGGAUAAUAGGGGGGCAGUAUCAAGGGAUAAUUUGGGUCCCCACAGUACCAAAGCAUUUAGAAACCUCUGUUUAAUUUAAGGAAUGAGAUAAGUUACUGCUUUUCUAGACUUCCUAGCAUGGGCUGUUGUGCUGGAGAGAACGAGAGCUACGAAGAGACUACAGUGCCUCUGACUUUUUCAUAGGACAGUUGGCCGAGGAAGACAAACAUAAAGAUGAAGUGCUUAAUUCAAGGUCACACAAUGUCGGGGAUGGACCUCCAGAUUUCCUUACUGGUGAGACGUGGUCUUGUAACACAGUGGUUAAGAAUGUGACUUUGGAGCCAGCCUGCUAGGGGCUGAAUUCUGACUCAGCCAUUUACUAACUGUGUGACCUUAGGCUGGAGUGCAAUGGCAUGAUCUCGGCUCAUCACAACCUCUGCUUCCUGGGUUCAAGCGAUUCUCCUGCCUCAGCCUCCCGAGUACCUGGGACUACAGGCACUCGCCACCAUGCCCGGCUGAUUUUUGUAUUUUUAAUAGAGAUGGUUUCACUAUGUUGGCCAGGCUGGUCUCGAACUCCUGACCUUGUGAUCUGCCCACCUCAGCCUCGAAAAGUGCUGGGAUUACAGGCGUGAGCCACUGCGCCCAGCCUUGUAUUUUUUUUCAGUUUGGGUAGCUGUCCCUAAUUCAUUUGUUAAAGGAGAAGCAAGAGCAAGAACCUUUAAUCUGUUCUCCUCUUCCCUAAUUUGAAAGUAGCUUGUUAUUUUGAAUAUCACUUUCUCUGAAAUAGCACAUCUCCAUCUCAGAGAAUGGAUUUAAUGUUUGGAUACAGCCAAAAGUCAUUUCAUUACCAAACCAUGGGGUGAAUAUACC